UUUUUAGUAUAAGUGUAUCCUAUGUAAUAUUUGGGGCAAAUUUAUACUAAAA
rnacentral:pre_miRNA from 1 species